rnacentral:lncRNA from 1 species
CUCGCCACGCUACUCCAUGCUGGGCGACAGAAGUGAGAACUUGUCUCAAAAAAUAAAUAAAAAUUUAAAAAUCACCUGUGGAACUUAAGUAAAAUGUGGAUUCAUAGGCCUUAGCUCUACAGCUUUUUUAACAAGCACCUUAUGGGAUUCUGCUGUUGGUAUUUCUCAGGUCUGCAGCUAGUACAGCAGGGAUUGAAUGACUUCCCAGUUAGACCCUGAGCUAGCCAUACCGUAUAUGCAAUUUCAUGUAAGCAUCUGCUAACUCCACUAGGAAUACUGUGCUGAGCCUUUGCCUUGAGAAUGCAGAGCUGAAAGAGCAGAUGGGAGAAGCAAUGUCUGAUGGAUGGGAGAUCGAGGAAGACAAGGAGGAGGGCGAGGUGAAUCCUUGGUGAAGCAGGACAGCAAGCAGGUCCAGGUGAACCUCCAGGACCUGGGCUAUGAGACUUGUGGCUGAAGCGAGAAUCAGGCUGAACAGGAGGAAACCACCAGUCCUGAGUGUGAGGAGCACAACAGCCUCAAGGAAGUGAUCCUGAUGGAGGGGCUGUGCUCUGAGCAGGGGUGCC